AUUCACACAGCACUCAACUUCCCUCCCCGGUAAACAACAAGGAUCUGAGAAACAAUGCUAACCGUUUAAGAAGAAAACGGAGCACAGUUCAUCUGAAGGAAACAGAAGGGUGAACCUUACUUUGGUGACCACCAAUGAACCAUGAAUGAUGUCAUCCAUGACUGGUAUCAUCCUCUCCUUCUUCCACCUCUUCAACUUCCUAGCCUUGGUCAUGCAACUGGCUUUGGCCAAUGGAACAUUAGCAAGCUUGGUGAAAGGAGAGGUUUGUCCCCUUGGAAUGUGUGCUUUGGGGAUACACCUUCUCAAAACCCAGUCACCAUGCUGUGAGAAGACCAAAUUAACCACAUAAGGAGAAUGGAGGUCCUCACUGAAAGUCCCAGUCAAGCUCCCACAACAGCCAACAUCAACUCACGAGUGAACCAUCUUGGAAGAAAAUCCUCUAGCCCCACUUGAACCUCUCCAGAUGAGCCAUGGCAGCCAAUGUGACACAGAGCAGAGAUGAGCUGAUCCUGCUAAGUCCUAUCCAA